UGUAUUUAUUAGAUUAAAAACCAAUGCCCUUCGGGGCUCUCUGGUGAUUCAUAAUAACUUCUCGAAUCGCACGGCCUUGCGCCGGCGAUGGUUCAUUCAAAUUUCUGCCCUAUCAACUUUCGACGGCUGGGUCUUGGCCAGCCGUGGUGACAACGGGUAACGGAGGGUUAGGGCUCGACCCCGGAGAAGGAGCCUGAGAAACGGCUACUACAUCCAAGGAAGGCAGCAGGCGCGCAAAUUACCCAAUCCCGACACGGGGAGGUAGUGACAAUAAAUACUGAUACAGGGCUCUUUCGGGUCUUGUAAUUGGAAUGAGUACAAUUUAAAUCCCUUAACGAGGAACAAUUGGAGGGCAAGUCUGGUGCCAGCAGCCGCGGUAAUUCCAGCUCCAAUAGCGUAUAUUAAAGUUGUUGAGGUUAAAAAGCUCGUAGUUGAACCUUGGGCCUAGCCGGCCGGUCCGCCUCACCGCGUGCACUGGCUCGGCUGGGUCUUUCCUUCUGGAGAACCUCAUGCCCUUCACUGGGUGUGACGGGGAACCAGG
rnacentral:rRNA from 1 species